GACGUAUUCAAAAAAAAACUACUUACUAGAUCUCGUUCAAACCAAUUUUCGGUGGAAGUUUGCAUGGUAAUGUACAUCAUAUAUUUUUUUUAGUUUUAUCAUUCUCUUAUUUUAGAAGUUACAGGGGGGGGGGACAUAUUUUACCACUUUGGAAGUGUCUCUCGCGCAAACUAUUCAUUUUAGAAAAAAAUGAUAUUAGAAACCUCAAUAUCAUUUUUGAAGACCUAUCCAUAGAUACCCCACACAUAUGGAACUGAAACUCAAAUUUUUUUUUCAUCAAACCCAUACGUGUGGGGUAUCUAUGGAUAGGUCUUCAAAAAUGAUAUUGAGGUUUCUAAUAUCAUUUUUUUCUAAACUGAAUAGUUUGCGCGAGAGACACUUCUAAAGUGGUAAAAUGUGUGUCCCCCCCCCCUGUAACUUCUAAAAUAACAGAAUGAUAAAACUAAAAAAAAUAUAUGAUGUACAUUACCAUGUAAACUUCCACCGAAAAUUGGUUUGAACGAGAUCUAGUAGUUUUUUUUAAUACGUCAUAAA